rnacentral:rRNA from 1 species
GACGAACGCUGGCGGCGUGCUUAACACAUGCAAGUCGAACGGAAAGGCCCUGCUUUUGUGGGGUGCUCGAGUGGCGAACGGGUGAGUAACACGUGAGUAACCUGCCCUUGACUUUGGGAUAACUUCAGGAAACUGGGGCUAAUACCGGAUAGGAGCUCCUGCUGCAUGGUGGGGGUUGGAAAGUUUCGGCGGUUGGGGAUGGACUCGCGGCUUAUCAGCUUGUUGGUGGGGUAGUGGCUUACCAAGGCUUUGACGGGUAGCCGGCCUGAGAGGGUGACCGGCCACAUUGGGACUGAGAUACGGCCCAGACUCCUACGGGAGGCAGCAGUGGGGAAGAUUGCACAAUGGGCGGAAGCCUGAUGCAGCAACGCCGCGUGCGGGAUGACGGCCUUCGGGUUGUAAACCGCUUUCGCCUGUGACGAAGCGUGAGGGACGGUAAUGGGUAAAGAAGCACCGGCUAACUACGUG